UACGUAGGGGGCAAGCGUUGUCCGGAAUUAUUGGGCGUAAAGAGCGCGUAGGCGGUCCGGUAAGUCGGUUGUGAAAGUCGGGGGCUCAACCCUCGGAUGCCGAUCGAUACUGUCGGGCUAGAGUCCGGAAGAGGCGAGUGGAAUUCCUGGUGUAGCGGUGAAAUGCGCAGAUAUCAGGAAGAACACCCGUGGCGAAGGCAGCCCCCUGGGCUGACACUGACGCUCAGGCACGAAAGCGUGGGGAGCAAACAGG
rnacentral:rRNA from 1 species